ACGCUGGCGGCAUGCUUUACACAUGCAAGUCGAACGGCAGCGGGGGCUUCGGCCUGCCGGCGAGUGGCGAACGGGUGAGUAAUGCAUCGGAACGUGCCCAUGUCGUGGGGGAUAACGUAUCGAAAGGUACGCUAAUACCGCAUACGUCCUGAGGGAGAAAGCGGGGGACCGUAAGGCCUCGCGCGAUUGGAGCGGCCGAUGUCGGAUUAGCUAGUUGGUGAGGUAAAGGCUCACCAAGGCGACGAUCCGUAGCGGGUCUGAGAGGAUGAUCCGCCACACUGGGACUGAGACACGGCCCAGACUCCUACGGGAGGCAGCAGUGGGGAAUUUUGGACAAUGGGCGCAAGCCUGAUCCAGCCAUGCCGCGUGAGUGAAGAAGGCCUUCGGGUUGUAAAGCUCUUUCGGCCGGGAAGAAAUCGUGUUCUCUAACAUAGGACAUGGAUGACGGUACCGGACUAAGAAGCACCGGCUAACUACGUGCCAGCAGCCGCGGUAAUACGUAGGGUGCGAGCGUUAAUCGGAAUUACUGGGCGUAAAGCGUGCGCAGGCGGUUUUGUAAGACAGAUGUGAAAUCCCCGGGCUUAACCUGGGAACUGCGUUUGUGACUGCAAGGCUGGAGUACGGCAGAGGGGGGUGGAAUUCCACGUGUAGCAGUGAAAUGCGUAGAGAUGUGGAGGAACACCGAUGGCGAAGGCAGCCC
rnacentral:rRNA from 1 species